CCCCUACGGGUGGCUGCAGUGAGGAAUAUUGGUCAAUGGGCGCAAGCCUGAACCAGCCAUCCCGCGUGAAGGAAGAAGGCGCUAUGCGUUGUAAACUUCUUUUCCAGGGGAAUAAAAUUUCGUACGUGUACGGAACUGAAGGUACCCUGGGAAUAAGCAUCGGCUAACUCCGUGCCAGCAGCCGCGGUAAUACGGAGGAUGCAAGCGUUAUCCGGAUUUAUUGGGUUUAAAGGGUGCGCAGGCGGAGCAAUAAGUCAGUGGUGAAAUCCUGCAGCUUAACUGUAGAAUUGCCAUUGAUACUGUUGUUCUUGAGUAUGGUCAAGGUAGGCGGAAUGUGUAAUGUAGCGGUGAAAUGCUUAGAUAUUACACAGAACACCGAUUGCGAAGGCAGCUUGCUGGGCCAUUACUGACGCUCAUGCACGAAAGCGUGGGGAUCGAACAGGAUUAGAUACCCUGGUAGUCCU
rnacentral:rRNA from 1 species